AUUGAACGCUGGCGGCAUGCUUUACACAUGCAAGUCGAACGGCAGCACAGGGAGCUUGCUCCUGGGUGGCGAGUGGCGAACGGGUGAGUAAUGUAUCGGAACGUGCCUGGUAGUGGGGGAUAACUACUCGAAAGAGUGGCUAAUACCGCAUGAGAUCUUUGGAUGAAAGCGGGGGACCUUCGGGCCCCGUGCUACUGGAGCGGCCGAUAUCAGAUUAGGUUGUUGGUGGGGUAAAGGCCUACCAAGCCUGCGAUCUGUAGCUGGUCUGAGAGGACGACCAGCCACACUGGGACUGAGACACGGCCCAGACUCCUACGGGAGGCAGCAGUGGGGAAUUUUGGACAAUGGGCGCAAGCCUGGUCCAGCAAUGCCGCGUGCAGGACGAAGGCCUUCGGGUUGUAAACUGCUUUUGUACAGAACGAAAAGUCUCUGGCUAAUAUCUAGAGAUCAUGACGGUACUGUAAGAAUAAGCACCGGCUAACUACGUG
rnacentral:rRNA from 1 species